UCCUCCUCCCAAGGCUUGUUGUGGACGGCAAGGUGCUUGCUACGAGUGCUUCAGACCCCUUCCACUAAACUGUCAUUGGUGAUGGCUAGAAGAAUUUGCACUGGACUGAGUAUUGCCGUGGACUGAAGGAGUGACCAAAUUGCCCCGUGACUGGCCGUAGUCUUCAGUUGGGCAUGGCAACCCACGCUGUGGACAAGAAGAUUGGCCAUUUGGUUCUAGGAGAAGAUUCCAGGACACAGAAAACAAUGACACGUGUAAUUGGCAUCUCCUGUAAGACACAGCUGAUCUGUUUCUUACAGGAGAUGCCCAUUACACAUGACCUCAAAUGUAUUUUAGUUCACUUUGUUUGAUCUCUCAUUGUCUGAGAGCAUGUUGUAGGCCUACUUGUAAUUUUAUCAAUUAUUGCCUGUUUGAAGUUAGUUCUGUUUUUUUAGUUAAUAAAUGUGUUCAUUGUCAAUAUA